CAAGUCCUGAUGUGUACGUUAUCUAUUCAAUCAGUUUUGACCGAACAAUUCUAUGUUUGGGAGUCUGCGUUUUCUUAUAGCAUGCAUGCCUUUUGCGAGGACGCACCAAGUGAGAAACAGGGCACCCACCUGCUGAGAGCGGGUUCAAAACGAUAGAUAUUUCCCGAGACGGCACGAUUGGGAUUUGC
rnacentral:other from 1 species